GGGGCUGUAGCUCAGAUGGGAGAGCGCUGCAAUCGCACUGCAGAGGUCAGGAGUUCGAUCCUCCUCAGCUCCACCA
rnacentral:tRNA from 4 species